AGGUGGCACUUCUGGAAUCGUUCCUGAAGAUGGCCGGACAGAUGGCGUUACUCAGAGCCAACAGGUACCUUAAGAAAGGGUUCACUCUUCCCAGUGCCAACGGUCUUGGUGUGCUGAAUCCCAAAGUCACGAUGGAGCAGGGGUACCUACUCAUUGCAACAGAUCUGAGCAUGGAGCCAGAAAGGCUGAGAGAAAGCAUCUUUGCCCCUGGCUCAUCGCAGUAACAGAUCCAGCAUGGCUCCCCUCUGGAAUAGAUGCCCUCGGAUUUUUGGGGUCCUCCUGGGCAGUGAUUGUAUGAGCUGCCGCGGGGUUGGAGUUGCGGCUGCGAGUUCUUCCUUGGGCCUUUUCAGGAAGCAUGGAGUCAUUUGCUGAAGAGGGCAGAAGCAUUCACAGCAAGCCUCCCCGGGGAUGGCAUAUCUGUUGCUACGAACCAGCACUUCCCUUACCCUUCACACCACCAAAGGGAGAUGCUAGAGAAAUGCAACGUCUCUCCGCUUGGUUUGAGAAUGAAAAGGCGGAAUGGAAUCGGUUUCUGAAAGGCGGCUGUGCUGGUUUCACAGCCGCGUAUUGGCGGGUGCCAGUGACGUCAACACGGCCCAUGCUGCAUUGAGUGAAUGGCACAAAACUUCCUCCCCCUUCCCACAUUACUGUUGCCAUCGUCCUCCAGUGUGGAGAUGGAUUAUAGGUCCAGCCUGAUUUUAGAAGAGGGUGAAGGGGUUGCAUCUCGUUGCCCUCAAACUUUCAAAUUCGGGUUCUCUUCUAAAUAUUCAGCCUUGCUUGGGCUUUCUCUGGCCCAGGAUGGUGGUCUGUACGGGUCUUUUUUGUGUAGCCCACUGGUUGAUUAAAAAAAAUCUGGACAUUCUAUUACUUGAAUAUGGCAUUAGAAAAUGUUGUGUGUGGACUGGACUUCUUCAGGGUGCCAGCCAACCAGCCGUGACCUCUUCCUGUAAACUCCGUUCCACUCUCCACAUCAUUUCCUGCCUUCCUCUCCAACGGCCAGUCCACAUUCUAGGAUAAGUUCAUCAAUAUAUAUAUUCAAUAU